CAGAUAUUAUCCUGCCAUGAGAAUACUGUGAUUAGAAGCAUUCCCACACACAACCAGAAAAUACGUCGCUUUCCAUGAGCUUUUCUGUUUCCCAAGGAUCAAUCCUAGGCAGCAGGACGAAGGGCAGCGGUGGGAAGCAGUGGAGGAUGGGAAGCAUCGCACACGGAGACCCUUGGAGACAACCCAUUCCCCCAGCGGACUCACAGUGGCCCAGGUGGCCACGCCUAGAGAGACCAGCAUCAGCGAAAUCUAACAGAAAGACCUCUGGGGAAGAGAACUCAGGAGGCUCAGAAUCUGGUGACUGCUCUGAAACAGAUUUCCUCGGUGACCUUGGGUGUAGACUUUCAGUGCCUUGUUCUGCGUCUGGAACUUAAGGAGGAUGUGACCUACUUUUUCCCUGUCUCAUUGAAAUGUGAUCAAGAUUAAUGGCCUAACGUAGAAAAUAUUUCCAGUGACAUGAAA